GGCUCAUAUUUGAAGUAGAGUAGAUUAGUAGUAUCAGUUGACCCUACUCAAUUACUCUACUUCGGGUUUGGGCCC
rfam:Haemonchus contortus, ISE/inbred ISE, WGS project CAVP01000000 data, contig: Hcontortus_contig_pathogens_Hcontortus_scaffold_1572